rnacentral:rRNA from 1 species
GACGGAGGGUGCGAGUGUUAUUCGGAUUUAUUGGGCGUAAAGAGCGUGUAGGCGGCCGGCCAAGUCAGAUGUGAAAGCCCAGGGCUCAACCCUGGAAGUGCAUUUGAAACUGGUUGGCUUGAGUUCGGGAGAGGGAAGUGGAAUUCCGGGUGUAGAGGUGAAAUUCGUAGAUAUCCGGAGGAACACCGGUGGCGAAGGCGACUUCCUGGACCGAAACUGACGCUGAGACGCGGAAGCGUGGGGGAGCAAACAGGAUUAGAUACCCAGGGUAGUCCCACGCUGUAAACGAUGGGCGCUAGGUGUGGGGGGUUUUUAAGUCCCUCCGUGCCGCAGCUAACGCAUUAAGCGCCCCGCCUGGGAGUACGGCCGCAAGGUUAAAAC